UACAGUACAUUUUGUUUUAAGUCGCUCUGGAUAAGAGCGUCUGCUAAAUUACGUAAA
rfam:Salmo salar isolate Sally breed double haploid chromosome ssa13, whole genome shotgun sequence.